rnacentral:rRNA from 1 species
CACCAGGUUGAUUCUGCCUGACGUAGACGCUAUUCCCUAAGAUUAACCCAUGCAUGUUUUUGACAUUUGAAAAAUGGACUGCUCAGUAAUACUCACUUUAUUUUAUGUAAAUUUUUAAUUAACUACGUUAAAGUGUAGAUAAGAUGUUUACAGUAAGAGUGAGACCUAUCAGCUAGUUGUUAAGGUAAUGGCUUAACAAGGCUGUGACGGGUAACGGUAUUACUUUGUAAUAUUCCGGAGAAGGAGCCUGAGAGACGGCUACUAAGUCUAAGGAUUGCAGCAGGGGCGAAACUUGACCUAUGGAUUUUAUCUGAGGCAGUUAUGGGAAGUAAUAUUAUAUUGUUUCAUAUUUUAAAAGUAUAUGAGGUGAUUAAUUGGAGGGCAAAUCAAGUGCCAGCAGCCGCGGUAAUACUUGUUCCAAGAGUGUGUAUGAUGAUUGAUGCAGUUAAAAAGUCCGUAGUUUAUUUUUUAAGAAGCAAUAUGAGGUGUACUGUAUAGUUGGGAGAAAGAUGAAAUGUGACGACCCUGACUGGACGAACAGAAGCGAAAGCU